UACGUAGGCAGCAAGCGUUGUUCGGAAUUACUGGGCGUAAAGAGUGUGUAGGUGGUGUCGUAAGUUUGGUGUGAAAUCUCCCGGCUUAACUGGGAGGGUGCGCCGAAGACUGCGAUGCUGGAGUAUGGGAGAGGAAAGCGGAAUUCCUGGUGUAGCGGUGAAAUGCGUAGAUAUCAGGAGGAACACCUGCGGUGUAGACGGCUUUCUGGACCAUUACUGACACUGAGACAGAAAGCGUGGGUAGCAAACAGG
rnacentral:rRNA from 1 species